rnacentral:rRNA from 1 species
UGGGGAAUAUUGGACAAUGGAGGAAACUCUGAUCCAGCAAUUCUGUGUGUGUGAAGAAGGUUUUAGGACUGUAAAACACUUUUAGUAGGGAAGAAAAAAAUGACGGUACCUACAGAAGAAGCAACGGCUAAAUACGUGCCAGCAGCCGCGGUAAUACGUAUGUUGCGAGCGUUAUCCGGAAUUAUUGGGCUUAAAGGGCAUCUAGGCGCUAAGACAAGUUGAAGGUGAAAACCUGUGGCUCAACCAUAGGCUUGCCUACAAAACUGUUGAACUAGAGUACUGGAAAGGUGGGUGGAACUACACGAGUAGAGGUGAAAUUCGUAGAUAUGUGUAGGAAUGCCGAUGAUGAAGAUAACUCACUGGACAGAAACUGACGCUGAAGUGCGAAAGCUAGGGGAGCAAACAGG